UACGUAGGGCGCAAGCGUUGUCCGGAAUUAUUGGGCGUAAAGAGCUCGUAGGCGGCCUGUUGCGUCCGCUGUGAAAUCCCGGGGCUCAACCCCCGGGCGUGCAGUGGAUACGGGCUGGCUGGAGGCAGGCAGGGGAGAACGGAAUUCCCGGUGUAGCGGUGAAAUGCGCAGAUAUCGGGAGGAACACCGGUGGCGAAGGCGGUUCUCUGGGCCUGUACUGACGCUGAGGAGCGAAAGCGUGGGGAGCGAACAGG
rnacentral:rRNA from 1 species